UUCAAAUGACGUAUCAUGAUGUCUGACGAGUUGACACUUGCAGGGCAAGGGAAGAAUGAAUACAUUUGAAAUGGACCGCUCAUGGCUGGAAAUUUGUCACGCGUUCAUCCCACGAUUGUGUUUUCACUCACCAUGGAAUUGUUGUGUGUGAGCCUUAUAUGCGCUACAGUCAAUUAUGAUUACAUUUCAUAUCUUGGCUAGAAGACAACGCAUCCGCAGACAUCGAAUGUUAGCCAUCCUACUAUAUCAGGCCUGGAGUGAACAUAAUUGUACACUCGCAAACUCGAUCAAAUACGAGGGCUUACGUUGCCAACUUCCCUUGCUUGGAUAAUGAUUUGGACCCAUGACAAAGAUGGCCGCGCAGAUUCCCCCAAGGGCAUAAGGCAAGGUUUGGAGUGGAUCAUAGACCAACACUACCACCACGUUGGGUCUGGAAUGCGAGGGACUACCGCUGAUGACCCAAUCUGCACUCACCGCAUCUAUCAUCCAUAACAAACAGGGCAGGCAAGCUAUGUGCAACUUUCUUUUUCUGUUAAAUAAAAUACCUUUUUUAGCAAAGA